rnacentral:tRNA from 1 species
GGGCCUUUAGCUCAGCGGUUAGAGCAGUCGGCUCAUACCCGAUCGGUCCGGGGUUCGAAUCCCUGAAGGCCCA